rnacentral:lncRNA from 1 species
AAAGUUUGUUUCUUGCUCACAGAAUUCUGGUGAGCAGCUGCCCUCCAAGUGAUGACUGAGCAAUUCAUACUUUUUCUAUCCUGUAGCUCUGCUGUCUUUACACACUGCUUUCUGAGUCAGGGCUGCAGAGCGUGAAACACGCACACUAGCUUUUAACUAUAUAUAACUCGUACUCAUGGGCCAUUCGCCAGAAUGGUCUCGUGGCUCCAACUCAACCAAGGGGACAGGGUAGUAAAUCCCCCACGUACCUAGGAAGAAAAGAAGAACAUGUUAGUGAGUCCUGACCUGGAGAGGAUCCAGCUCCUGUAACGACUGAGGCCUUGUGAGUAUUCCAAGGAACUCCGUCCACUGCCUGUGACUUAGAACAUCUGCGUGAAUACAGAAAAGUUCAGCCGGACACCUGGAUGCUCUGUCCAGUCGAUACUCGACAUCUGAGGGUUUCCAGAAGCCUCCAAGCCUGGGGCCACGUCUGCACAGUUCAGGGAGAGGAAGUUUGACUCACUUGAGUUAUUUGAUCCAUGUGGACAGGCGCUGUGGGUCCCCAGGAAGCCACAGCAGCAUUCUUGAUCGCCCAGUGGUCUGUGGCUGAGGUUUCUGCCGAGAUCAUUGCCAAAGCCCACUUCCUUGUGUUCUGGAGCACUUUGAAUACAUCAGCCCACUGCCUUCUGGCCUCCAAGGUUUCUGAGAAGAAAUCGGAUGAAACCUUAUUAAGGAUCCUUUGCCAAAGAAAGUGGCUUAGCUGGGCCCAGCCUCAUUUCCUGCCAACUCAUAUGUUCCGAAGAGCCCGUAAGUCUCAUGGUUCCCUGUCCCCAAGCCGUCCUGCCUCCGUGAGGCUGCGCUUGGAAAGCCCUCGCUUUAUCUUGUUUUCCAGGUAAACUCCCAGCCAUCCCUUUAUGCCCAGAUCUGAUGU